GUGUCUGCACUAAGUUCAGCAUCAAUAUGGUGACCUCCCGGGAGCAGGGGACCACCAGGUUGCCUAAGGAGGGGUUGAACCGGCUCAAGCUGGAAACCGGAGCAGGUCAAAACUCCCGUGCUGAUCAGUAGUGGAAUUGUGC
rnacentral:SRP_RNA from 1 species